rnacentral:rRNA from 1 species
UAGGGAAUCUUCCACAAUGGGCGCAAGCCUGAUGGAGCAACACCGCGUGAGUGAAGAAGGGUUUCGGCUCGUAAAGCUCUGUUGUUAGAGAAGAACGUGCGUGAGAGCAACUGUUCACGCAGUGACGGUAUCUAACCAGAAAGUCACGGCUAACUACGUGCCAGCAGCCGCGGUAAUACGUAGGUGGCAAGCGUUAUCCGGAUUUAUUGGGCGUAAAGCGAGCGCAGGCGGUUUGAUAAGUCUGAUGUGAAAGCCUUUGGCUUAACCAAAGAAGUACAUCGGAAACUGUCAGACUUGAGUGCAGAAGAGGACAGUGGAACUCCAUGUGUAGCGGUGGAAUGCGUAGAUAUAUGGAAGAACACCAGUGGCGAAGGCGGCUGUCUGGUCUGCAACUGACGCUGAGGCUCGAAAGCAUGGGUAGCGAACAGG